CAGUGGGACCAGGAGGGCAGAACUGUUGGCGUGAUCAGGGUUGGUGUUUUGCGGGGGUGGGAGUGGAGAGUAGGGUGGUCCUGCAAGUCGUGCAGGGUAAAGAGCGCUUCCCUGAGACGGGACAAUGGUGCUGAUGGAACAUGGGGGAGGCCCACAUUUGAGCAAAGCUGCCCUUGCCUUGUCUUCUGGCCUGGCUUCCUGGUAAGGAGCUUCAGCUGCCUCCCUGGGAACCCCCAAAGUGCAGAUUGUGAAGCAGACACACUGGGCGGAGAGACGCUAAGCACACAAGUGUUCCAGUUGCGCGAUGGGACCCGGGGCCUCGUGCUUUUUUUUGCUGUGGGUGGGUUGGGUGGGUUUGUUUAUGCCUAUCAAUGCAAUUUUUAAUUUUUGUUAAUAUCAACAGCAAAAGCCUAGUGCACUGGGAGAUGUGCAACCUCCCUGAAAAUCUUUUGUUUCUGGAGUGCUUCAGGGGUGACCUCUGAACCCAGAGCCUUUGCCACAGUGCUCCCACCAGCCCCCACCUCUUCUGUUUGCAGAGCCUUGUCUACAGGUCCCCACGCUGUCCUGUAUACUCACUCUGUGCUUGGCUGUUUUAUUAUUUGGCUAAGUCUACAUUGGGUGGAAAUCUCUGUGCACGGAGCGGGUGUUCCUCCAAGCCCCUUCUACUCGGAGGGCCACACCUAGCAAUGCCAGUGAAGGUGGCACAGCCUCUCUUCAGUUUCUCCUGACUGUGAUCUCACAGGCAGAAUUCCCCCGAGAGAAUUCCCUCACUCUCAGCUUCCUUUGCCAGAGUUAGUUCAAUCGGGUCUGAAGUGAGCAAUUUACAGACUUGCCUCAGAAAGUCCCUCAGGGCUGGUAGAGGACUGCAGGGGAGCGUCCACUGCAGACUCAGCCUUUCUCUGCAACCAUCUUGCAGUGAGGAUGAGCAGGCACAGGCUGAGAACUGCCCUUGGGUGGUGGCAGCAGGUGUCAGGGUGCAAGUCUCCCCCUGUACCCCUCCCCCAGCUUGAGCCGUGUCACCCCCUCUCCCUCCAGCAUGGGCCUGCAUCUCGGGCUCUCUGGAAGGAUGGCCCUGCCCCAGACCCUCUUGCAGAUGCCUGGUUUGACUUGGAACUAGGUGGCUUUGGUGGCCAAAGAGCAGUCCAGGUGUAUGGAAGUGGCUGUCCCCUCCUCUCCAGCCCCUGCCCACCCACUGGUGGAGGUGCUAACUAGCAGGGACGUGGCAUAGGAUGGGAGCUGGACGGGAGGUGCUGGGGGUCCAUUUUUCGUCCCUCAGCUUCUCAGAAUCUGGCCAGCUGGCCCCUAUGUUCCUGUGCCCCCCACUGUCCUCCCUACCGCAGUGAGGCAGUAGUCCAGGGUGGGGCCUGGCCUCCCCACCUUGAUUGGGCACUCAGGAGGCGAGGCAUGGGGCUUCCUGCCCACACCUUGCCCACCUACCUGCCCCUGGGCGGCACGGGAGAGCAGGGCAAGCACGCUUGUUGGUUUCAGAUGCACUUUCUGCUUGCAAUGCCGUAUCUGUGCGUUCCUUCAUCCUGGUCCUGGCUUUAUGGAACACCAUGUUUUUAGCAUGUUUUUAAAUAACCAAUAAAGUGUCAAAAGCACA